GACGAACGCUGGCGGCGUGCUUAACACAUGCAAGUCGAACGCUGAAGCUUGGUGCUUGCACUGGGUGGAUGAGUGGCGAACGGGUGAGUAAUACGUGAGUAACCUGCCCUUGACUCUGGGAUAAGCCUGGGAAACUGGGUCUAAUACUGGAUACGACAUGUCACCGCAUGGUGGUGUGUGGAAAGGGUUUUACUGGUUUUGGAUUGGCUCACGGCCUAUCAGCUUGUUGGUGGGGUAAUGGCUCACCAAGGCGACGACGGGUAGCCGGCCUGAGAGGGUGGCCAGCCACACUGGGACUGAGACACGGACCAGAAUCCUACGGGACGCAGCAGUGGGGAAUAUUACACAAUGGGCGAAAGCCUGAUGCAGCGACGCCGCGUGAGGGAUGACGGCCUUCGGGUUGUAAACCUCUUUCAGCACGGAAGAAGCGAAAGUGACGGUACGUGCAGAAGAAGCGCCGGCUAACUACGUG
rnacentral:rRNA from 1 species